GGAAGCGUCACUCUUUUCCCCUCGGCUCCUGCUCCAGCGGCACAAUGUGAUCCACCGGCAAGGAGGGAUGCCAAUAAGGCAUCCAAUAAGAUAAGUCUUAUAAAAUAUAUAGGUUUAUGAUAGUUAAGAUUGAACUAGCAGAUGAGAAUCCUAGUCAUUGGCCAAGUAGCUUUGAAUCUAAUACAUGUUUCUGUGUAUUCAUUUGGGCCUAACUCGGGCUGGCGUAAAGCUCACAUGCAGCGGUGGGGCUCAGGCGGCUUUUGGCAGAAAGAUUUAUCAUAACACCAGCCUCUUUUGGUCCCUUUGCUAUCCCAGUUCCUAGGGCUCGCCUGACAUUCAAAAGGUGCUCAGUAAACAUUGAUGCGUGGUUGGCUGAAUUAAUAAUAGAUGGACGUGAGGUUCACUGGCCAUCAGUCCGAGGUGUCAGGGGACAGUGUGACCAGAAGUGGCUGGUGGCCUUUGCAACAGCAGGGGGAUUUGGGAGAGGAUGUCCCAGAGUGCCUCCGUGGCUGUGAGAAAUGGCUGAAGCAUAAGCACAAGGAAGACAUUUUGGGGAACAUCAUCGUUCACCUCGGGAGUGAUGGGUUGUUGUUUUUUUCCUAAUGCUUAAAAUUAGAGACUACACACACUCAUUUUAUUUUUUAUUGGGUUUUUGGGUUUUGUUCUGUUUCUUGGUUGGUUUGGUUUGGGUUUUUGAAACAGAGUUUCUCUGUGUAGCCUUAGCUGUCCUGGCACUCACUUUGUAGACCAAACCAGCCUCACAACUCACAAAGACCCACCUUCCUCUGCCUCCUAAGUGCUGGGAUUUAAGACGUGUGCCACCACACCUAGCACACAUACCCAUUUUAAAGAAAUAAAUAAAAGUGACAUGUAAAGGUUACAUGGGCAGGCUACAGAAUAUUUAAGGGCAGCCUUUUUUUUUACUUUUUUUUAUUUGAAUUACAAACAAGAUUGUAUUAUAUGACAAUCUCAGUUCCCUUCUUCCUCCCUUCCUCCCCUAUCAUCCCCCCAACUAAAACCCUACCUAUCACAUAGCCUUUCUUCUAAUCUACACCCGACUCAACCUUUCUGCUCCCUCAUGACCUCUGCAUCCUUCCUUUUCUUCUCUGAACUGUAAGCCAGAUCCAAUUAAAUGUUUUCCUUUUUAAGAGUUGCUGUCCUCUUUUUUGUGGUGCCUCCUAGGUGGUCGGCUGUGUGAAGAUGAAGCUCAGUAUCUCCUUCCCCACCAUCAGAACCACCAGAAACUCAAGCUUUGGACAUUCUGUGAGAAUCGCAUAGCCACAGAGGUAGCUGCUGAUGCUCUGGGGGAAGAGUAGAAGGGUUGUGUGGUCCAAUUCAGUGGCAGGAAUGACAAGGUUUUCACAUAAAGCAAGGUCUUUUGACCCAUGACAGAGAACACCUGCUGUUGAUUAAGGGGCAUUUUUGUUACAGACCAAGGAGAACUGGAGAGAGGAAGCACUGAGGAUACAUCAUGGAUGCCAAUCUGAGUGUUCUCAACUUGGUUAUUAUAAAAAAAAGAGAGAGAGAGAGAGAGAGAGAGAAAGAGAGAGAAGGAUAUUCUGGGACUAACAGAUACUACUGGUUCCUCAUCAGUUGGGACCUAAAAGAGCUAGCAGACUCUGAAAGCUUUUUAAUCUCUCUAAAGAUGAUUUCUACCAAUAUGUGGGAAAGCCUUUAAACAAAAAAGGUAAGAAGUCCAGGACCAAAAUGCCCAAGACUCAGCAUCUUGUUACUUCACGUGUCCUACAACACAAAUGCAGUCGUAUUGCUCGGAAGAAACAACGAACAAAGAAAAACGAGGAGGCUGCAGAAUAUACUAAAAUUUUGGCCAAGAGAAUGAAGCCAAAGAAAAUGCCAGAAACAGAUCACCAAGAGAUGGAGGCUGUCCUUACUGACAGCUUCUACUUCUAAGUCUUAGUCCAGUCAAAAAUAUGCCUUUAAGGGUAACAAAGAAAUAAUCAUACAUUGAAAAAAAAGAGUUGCUGUGGUCAUGGUGUCUCUUCACAGCAAUAAAAAUCCUAAGACAGAAGUCAAAUAGGGACAGGGGCCUGGAUGCCAGCUUUCAGGGGGAUAGCAGUGUUAAUGGGGAGUAAGUUCUGCCUGCCAGACGAAUGGCAAUGGCUUUCUUCCACAGACUUCGAGCUGUGGGGUGGCCUCCUUUGUGGUAAAAUACCCUAAUCAUAUCCCACCCAUCCCAGCCUUUCCCAUAUACGUGUGUGUGUGUGUGUGUGUGUGUGUGUGUGUGUGUGUGUGUGUAUACAUAUAUAUUAACAUCAAACAAGUCUUAUAUCCCUUACAUGUAGACCAAUGCACACCUUGACCCAAAUUCUUCUUCAAUGAAGUAAUGUCUAACACUGCUCUAGUGAGAUGGUAAUGCUGGACUGGAGAAUUGCCUGGGAGUUCAUGGGCAAUCUAGUACACAGCAUAGCAGAAGCAAGAGAGACUCAGCCUCAACAAAGCAGGAGGGGAAAACCAAUUCCCCAAAGUUCCACAUGUACACAGUAGCAUGCAUGUUACACAUGUACACCGUAGCAUGCAUGUUACACAUGUACACAGUAGCAUGCAUGUUACACAUGUACACCACAGCAUGCAUGUUAC
rnacentral:lncRNA from 1 species